GGGGAGCCUGUGCCUAUCUCAGGCGUCAUCGGGCAUCAAGGCAGGAUACACCCUGUUCGGAGUGCCAAUCCAUCGCAGGGCACACACACACACUCACCUGGCAAAGGCAACCAGCAAACUAACAACAAGUUGGCAUGGAACAAGGCCUACUGACGUUUACCUCUUGCUUCACAUCUUACAGAAGAGAUUGCAAUGACACGCACACACUAAAUCAUUCUCUAGUCCAAGGAGGGAAACCACAAUACCAAAUAUAAUCAUCCCCACGUGGGUCUGUUAUUUUUACAAGUUAUUAACCAAUCUAAAGUCUUGAAAAUAGCUUGAGCGCAAAUCUCAUAACUCCAUUGGACACUUCAACUGUCCACCUCUUCCUCAC